GACGAACGCUGGCGGCGUGCCUAAUACAUGCAAGUAGAACGCUGAAGGAGGAGCUUGCUUCUCUGGAUGAGUUGCGAACGGGUGAGUAACGCGUAGGUAACCUGCCUGGUAGCGGGGGAUAACUAUUGGAAACGAUAGCUAAUACCGCAUAAUAGUAGAUGUUGCAUGACAUUUGCUUAAAAGGUGCAAUUGCAUCACUACCAGAUGGACCUGCGUUGUAUUAGCUAGUUGGUGGGGUAACGGCUCACCAAGGCGACGAUACAUAGCCGACCUGAGAGGGGGAUCGGCCACACUGGGACGGAGACACGGCCCAGACUCCUACGGGAGGCAGCAGUAGGGAAUCUUCGGCAAUGGACGGAAGUCUGACCGAGCAACGCCGCGUGAGUGAAGAAGGUUUUCGGAUCGUAAAGCUCUGUUGUAAGAGAAGAACGAGUGUGAGAGUGGAAAGUUCACACUGUGACGGUAUCUUACCAGAAAGGGACGGCUAACUACGU
rnacentral:rRNA from 1 species